GUGGCUGUAGCUCAAUUGGUUAGAGCGCCGGACUGUGGCUCCGGAGGUUGCGGGUUCAAUCCCCGUCAGCCACCCCU
rnacentral:tRNA from 2 species